rnacentral:misc_RNA from 1 species
GAUGAAGAACGUAGCGAAAUGCGAUACGUAAUGUGAAUUGCAAAUUCAGUGAUUCAUCGAGUCUUUGAACGCACAUUGCGCCCCCUGGUAUUCCGGGGGGCAUGCCUGUCCGAGCGUCAUUGCUGCCCUCAAGCACGGCUUGUGUGUUGGGCCCCGUCCUCCGAUCCCGGGGGACGGGCCCGAAAGGCAGCGGCGGCACCGCGUCCGGUCCUCGAGCGUAUGGGGCUUUGUCACCCGCUCUGUAGGCCCGGCCGGCGCUUGCCGAUCAACCCAAAUUUUUAUCCAGGUUGACCUCGGAUCAGGUAGGGAUACCCGCUGAACUUAAGCAUAUCAAUAAGCGGAGGA